AACGCGCAGCAAGAAGCCAAACGCGCAGCAAGAAGAGGCCACAACACAACGGAAGUGUUUCCAGGGGACACCUAAAAGUGAUGGACACGCCCGGAUGUUGUUGCUGCAGCUGUUUGGAGUUUCUAACGCCGGUGUCCGUCUACUACGUGAACGUUAACUAAACUGCAAUGUAUUGUCCAUAUUGUGGAAACCAAUUUGUUGGACGUGGUGGACGUUUUUGUGGCUCCUGUGGCAGCAACAUUGAGUUUUUGUCACCUUUUGCAGAAGAUGGACCCAUAUUGGAUGAAGUCACGGAGACAGGCCUCAUCCAAAAAUAUUUCUCAGACGGUCACACAUACGAGGUGAUCCUAGAUUUUCUUGGAAAAAAGCACAACAUUUUUAUGAAUCUCAGCACUUUAAAGAGGAGGCUAAAGGAAGCAGGCCUAACUAGGAGGACAAAUUAUACUCCCAUUGCCACUGUGCAGGCAACUGUUGCACAGGAACUGAGAGGCUCUGGUCAGCUGUUAGGUUACAGAGCCAUGUGGCAGACAUUGCAACAGAAGUAUCACCUGACAGUUAAAAGAGAUGAUGUUAGGCAAACCAUUGCCAGACUGGAUCCAUCUGGAGUUCAACUUCGCUCUAGGCGCAGGUUUGUCAGAAGAGGAUACUUCACAGAGGGACCAAACCAAGUGUGGCAUGCUGAUGGGUAUGAUAAAUUGAAACCCUUUGGUAUUGCCAUCAGUGGCUGCAUUGAUGGCUUCUCAAGGAAAGUAA